AAUUUAGCAGAGUUAAAAUUACGGUGUUAAUGGAAAUAUAAAGAGUUCGGAGUUAAUUUAACACUGGAUUGAGUUAAAACUAUUUUAUUUAACUCUAUAAAAAUAAAGAGUUGGUGUCAAAACAGAGUGUUACCCCUUUUUUAAAAAAACAACUCCUACAGUGUUUUGUUAGUGAUGUUUGUUAACUCCUAGAGUGUUAAAUAGAGAAGACCUCCCCCUCUUUACAGCACACACUGAACCGUGUUUUUGGAUGAUGCAGUUCAAGCAGAAGGUCAUCUCUUUCAAAUGGAGAUUUGCUUUGGGGAUUUUGGAGGAGCACAGAAAUAGGCCUAUAUGAAAAUUUCUUCUGACGAAGAGCAAUUUUAUAACAAAAAAAGUUCAAUAUCAAGUCUGAAGGUCUGACCGUCGAGGAUCAUAUCACCUCCUUACAGCUACUGGUUCAUCAUAUUCACUCUAAAAAACAAACGG